rnacentral:sRNA from 1 species
UUUUGUGGAACAUAGCUUACAUCAGAAGAUUUACAAUGCAAAGGUCCCGAGUUCCAAUACAAAGUUGAGUUAAUCUCGGACAGCAACCAUGGGAACUCCGCUACAUAAGUAUGUAGAUCUCUUGCUACUGGCAUGUUUCAUUGUUAUCAGAGAAGUUUUCCCUUAUUAUGGGAAAUUGGGUCCAUUAGCCGGCUUGCUUGCAUUGGCCCAGUAUGCAGCUCAAGCAAAAUUUUCGGUAGCAAACACAUGGUGACAAAAAAAACUAUACAUUCGUUUGACCAAACUGCC